CAUUAGUAUGCACACUUUGUGCAUGCAGCAGCACCUCUCCAUCACUGCCAGCAUUUUUCUACUAAAACCUCGCCCUCCCUCUCCCAAACGCCGAGGACAAGGCACAUGGAACUGCUGUCCCACAGGGAUGGGGAUUCCUACCUUCAGAGACCCCUGCAGAAAAGCAGAUACUGAGUAUGAGAGAUGAUCCUUACAGGGUUGAUCUGGCAAAUCUGACUGGAAAAUUCAGACUACUAUGCCUUGGUGGAGGCUCUAAAAUUAAGACUUUUGAGAGAGCUGCACACAGAGUGAAAUGUCUCAUUAAAAUUAAAUGAGAAAAUUAUUAGAAACCUAUGCCUCAUCAAACAUGUUAAUGCUGAAAAUGAGGAGAACUAGCAAUGCCUGCCUGCUGAUUGUUUGGGUAAGGAGUGAAAUGAGGACUGUGAAAUGUAGUAGAACCAUUACCUGUACAGCAGUGGAAGUCCUGGAGAAUGAAUGAACUCAAAAAGAAGGACAGGUGCCUGAGGCACCAACGUAGGGGUCAGUUUCAGGUUGCUGUCACACAGGCCUCUUCCUUGGGGAGAUUUGUCCAAGGGUAACCUCUGAAUACACAAGAAGCAAAAGAGGACAAAAAACUCAGUCAAUUCCAAAAAGAACAGUCCUGGUUUGAAUAGCAAGCAAUGAAUGAAGGAAAGACCAGGACUUUCUUUUAACAGUGAUGGACUGAAUGGCAAGCCUUGUUCUACAACGAGGGACCUGCAACCAGAAAUUCCAGGAAAAUUCCCUACUGGAAACUGCAUUUGCAAUGUUUGAGUGAACACCAUGCGUGGUGAGCCAGCUGCACUCCAUCUUUUGUUCCCUGACUGAGCCCACAUGUGAGAUUGAGCUUCCAGAACGGCUGCUUACAGGCAGAGAUAACAGAGUCUCUUUCUCCUAAUGUGUCCACCUACCCCUCAGUUCCACACCAGGGAGAGAGGCUGAACCUUAAUGCUGAGCUGCUUCUGAGCUGCUGCAGAUGAAAACUGAAGGCGAACCCAAGCUGGCACUGGUUUGCAAUGUAACCUACUUGCAUUGGUGAGACACAGAUUUCCAGAUCCCUCUUUGAAGCAAAGAUAUUAAGAGAUGUGGUCAGGUUUUUAUGGCUCUGCAGCACAUAAACACAGCCUGGCCAGAUCUGCUUCAGAUCUCUGGGCCAUGAAAACCCAAACCCCUUGGGAAAACAUCAGGGAUAGCUGUUGCUGCUGCAAAUCUGCCUGUCUGGCAAGCCCUGUAAGAACUCAAUUAACUCUACCUACUUGAUUAAAGUUCAGUAAAGUGUGUAUAGUUUCAUUAUAAAGAAGUUAGGGAAAUUGAUUCGUUUGGGUGAGAAAAUAUCAACCCAUCUCAGAUGAAAGUUAAGUACCUAAAUCCUGUUUGCGCCUCUCUCCAAAAUACUGGAUUAAAAAAAAAAAAAAAAAAAGAAAAGGGGUCUCUCAGAACCUUUCCCUCAGCUUCUUUCAGUUUUCCCUGAAACACCUUUUCAGAAGCAUAAGCAGUGAGCUGUAAAGCAGAUGAGUUCAUUAUUGGCUUAGUUUUUUAAGAAUGACUGUAUCACUCAGUAGUUAUGACACUAGUUUUCCAGACUUCUGUCUAACCCAGGUUUCCUUCUUAUUGAAAUGACGGCACUUUAGGACCAACAAUUUUUUCUUCCUCUGUGUUUGGAGUUAUAAGUGGGAUUUUUACAUAAUAAUAAUCUGAUAUAUGCCGUUGUGUUUGGGUUUGUUUUGUUCCCCAAACAAGAAGCAUACAGCAGCACAGAGCUUCUGGAAUAUUAAUUAUAUGUAGCUUAUUUCAAGAUUCCAAGAUAUGGUUGUAACCAUCCUUAGAUUAAAUCCAUCCCACAACUGGAAUAUAGUCUGCUGAGGGGCAAAAGGUUAAAGAGAUAAUUAUUUAUUCUACACUGUCUUAAACUAACUUUGGAGGUGCGUUUCAUCUAGAUUUUUAAUUCAUAUUUCCCUUAAGCGAUGUUUAUUUUCUUAAUGACUUUGUGUUAGCAAAAUUUUCUGACAGUGAAGCUGGGGGGAAUUAUGAAGAAAGGGGAGAAUAGCUUAUUAUACAUGAGGAAUGAUUGUGAGGUUAGAAAAAUAAUAGAGAAAUGGAAAAUAAUAUGAAUUUAAACUCAGAGAGAAAGAUACUAAUAAGCAUUUCUGCUCUAGCAGAAACUAUAAGAAUUAGGCGUAGUAGGAUCUGCAAUGCAGAAAAGAUUGGAACACAUUAGUGGCACUGAGGACUAGCAGUUUCCAACUAGAUUUAGUAUUUCAAGUAGUGAUGGAGAAGUAUCAAUGCAGGUGGAAACCUCAUUUGGAAUACUGUAGGCAAUGUUCCAGGAAAACAAUUCUAAAGCACAGCUAUCAGGUAAGGGAGGUGUCAAUGGUGCAGGAAGUCUCUUCUAGGUAUGCAUUUCUAUGCCUCUUGGCAAACUUCAUGGUAUAAAUUCAUUAUUUAAUAUUCACUAAAAGCCUGACCAGAAAAAGCAGGAAAAAAAUACAUUUGGCCUUCCAAUUGAGCUAGGAGCAGAGAAUACUUAUAUUAAAAUAGCUCCUUAUUUUCCUUAUGCAUCAGCUUCCCCAUUUGAGAAACAAUGAUGUUACUUACCCCAUUCUAUAAACAUAAUUAAACUAAUUAAAUACUCAUCAGCCUGAAUGAUUAAUGAAGCACUUUGCUCUGUCUCUGUCCAGUACCACAACUUAUGACUCUACCUGCUACUACAACUAAAGAAAACAAAACCAUGUAGCUUUAAUGCAGACACUAGCAGCCCAUAAACUUGCUGUUGUCUCUUUUUAUGAGCCCUUGAAUUUCUUCAGAUGCCCAGUGCACUGUUUUUUUCAGAACCAUUGUGGACUGGGAAGAUUCCCGGGUUCCCAAAACAGUCAGGAGAUUAAGUGUCUCUUCAGCAAAACUGGAAAGGGCAGAGUACAUAGAACAGUUUCCUGGAAUUCCCUGUCUAUACACAAAAUAUGAGUCCAGUACAAAACAACAGAAAUAUCUGAAGCCUUUCCUGUUGAAUAAAUGUUACCCUACAAAGGAUGCAAGAUUAUAAGAGAGAGAAAAAACCCAAAACAACAACCAGGAACGUGAUUCUACUCUCUAUUCGUUACAGCACUGGAAAGAGAAAACAGAGUUGGAAAAUCCUAGUUUGGUGUUUGUAGUUUCCACUAAACUCUAAAAAGAAAUAUGCAAAUAAGGAUUCAGUAUUCCCUUGCCCACACUAAGCAAGAUUAGCUAGACUUAGGGAGCCAAUUCUUUCUUUCCAGUGAAAAUGGGAUUUGCUACUGAACACAAACAUCACUUUACCAGGUUGCUUAGAGAACAUCUCUUUCCUCAUAGCCUCUCAGAGGAGUAGGUGUAAUUAGGCCACCAUCAGGUUGAAAAGAUAAUUAAACCUAGAUUUUCUGUUUCCUAAGUACUCAAACCACUAAGCCAGCAGUGGAGGCGGUUCCCUAUGGGGUAGGCAAGGCAGGCACAUCCUUUAUGGGCGAUUCACAUGGUAGAAGAACACCUCCUGAUGUAGCAGGGAAGGAUCUAAUAUAUGGAGACAUAGAACCUGAAAGCCGAAUGACGCAGUGAUUUCCUUCAGUCCUCAGCUAGAAUGUAUGGUAAAAUAAUCUCAUGAAUGAAUGGUCAAUUCAUGAGUCAUACAUAGGUCUUUAUUUUGCAAUUUUCCAGACAUCCUUUUGGAAAUUUUCCAGUCAUUGGAGAAUCUUUUUAUCCUCAAAUACCACAAAAGAUUAAGGUGAUUGAGAAAUCCUCUCUGCAAAGGGAGAAGUUAUUUUUUGGAAAAGCCUUCAGAUGUCAGCUUUAAUAAGUACAUGAUGUCUAAUCUCCAUGAUCACAUUGUGAUGUAACUUAACAUGACCUGGUAAUCAAAAAAAUCACUAUUUUUAGAAGAUUCGUAACAGAAUUGAGUAUUGAAGCACCUUCUUUAAAUGUUCUGUCCUCUGGUGGUCCUUACAGCUCAGUGUCGUGGUUUAAUCCCAGCCAGCCACCAAGUCCCACACAGCCCCUUGCUCACUCUCCCACCAAUGGGACUGGGGAGAGAACUGGAAGGGUAAAAGCAAGACAACUCAUGGUUUAAGAUAUAGAGACAGUUUAACAGGGAAAGCAAAAGUCGUGGACACAAACAGAGCAAAACUAGGAAUUAAUUCACUGCUUCCCACAAGCAGGUGUUCAGCAGUCUCCAGGAGAGCAGGGCCCCAUCCCAUGUGACAGUGACUUCGGAAGAUGAAUGUCAUCACUCCAAAUCUCCCCCUCCUUCCUCUUCCCCAGCUUUAUAUACUGAACAAGAUGCCAUUUGGUCUGGAAUAUCCUUUUGGUAAGUUUGGAUCACCUGUCCUGGCUCUGUCCCCUCCCAACCUCCCAUGCACACCCAACUUCCUUGCCAGCAUGGAAGUAUGAAAAGCAGAAAAGGCCUUGGCUCUGUGCAAGCCCUACUCAGCAAUAACAAAAACAUCUCUAUGUUAUCAGCCUGUGUUCAGCACAAAUCCAAAACACAGCCCCUGUGAAGAAAUUCAACUCUACCCUAGCCAAAACCAGCACACAUGGAGCUAAGUGCAAAGGCUCCCAUGCAUGAUACAUGAGAAGAGCUGCUAAUAAAAUUUGGAUUCUCAACAGUGCAUGUUCUGGGAAAUAAACAGCCAUAGAUAGCUAGGAGGUAAAUCCACAGAGUCACAGAAGAUUUCUUCUCUGCCUGUACAUAGAUUGUCAUAUAGGUGUGCUUAUAGCUGAAAAAAAAGUCUUCUUAGGGCCUAGAAUCUCUGUGGUUAACUGCACAUACAUUUAAAUGAUAGAUGGAAGAGCAGUUGCCUCUACUUUCUACUCAUUACUUUAGUGAUUACUGCUACCAUACACUACAUGGAGAUCAAGGCUCACCACGCUCUCAGCCUCACUGGGUUCUGAUCUAUGCCUCCUGCUACAUAGCUUUACACAGUAGGCAAGGUGCUUUUUUGGCAAGGGCGUGGUUUUUUUCACAAAGGUGCUUUUGAGGGUUGGGUUCAAAUCUGUACACUGGACUAAAAGGCCUCUAGGUAUUUUGAAAAAUAUGGGGGGACCACCCAUAUUUUGUCCGCUCACUCUUUGAGUCCAAACCAGCAAGAUCCAGAGCACCACAGUCAGUCAUAGGUCAAAGUCAGGUCUGAAGGACUUCACUGAGUGUGUAGGGUAACAGAAGUAGUUCAUCAAAGUAAACCUUCUAUUUACUGGUGAGGCAGAUGGCUCUUUGGGCACUCUUUUCAUGAGCAGACCUUCAGUAGGAAGCCUCACUCUCCUGAAUUACAUAGAGCUGAUGCAUUUUAAUAUUAUCCUAAUUUGGAGAAAUAAUGUGAUUCCAAUUAAUUGAAAUUUGCCAGCUGGUUGGAUAUGAGCCCACUUCACUGCAUGUUUGUGUUAUGUUCUGUUUGUAAAUGUGCACUGGGACACAUCCUGUUCUCAUUUCACAGUAGUAAAUAAAUCAAUUCUAUUGUUUUAGUAGUGCUCCUCACCUAGCCUUUCAAGGGUCAGGUUUUAAAUGGCAUCAUGUAGCAUUGCUUUUCUGAGUUCUUAUACAUCUGCUGAAUCAUGAAGCUGAGAACUUAUUCUAAGAUAGUGUUCUUGCCUUCAGCCCCCAGGGCUCCAAACAGCUCUUUCUUCCAUUUCUUCUUGAUUUUACAUGCCAGUCUUUUAAUCAAGAUGUUAUGUUGUACCACAUCAUACACUCAAAUUUCUAUGAGGCAUUUUACAUCAACACUAUCAACACUAUUACUCUUAGCAACGGUGUGCAUUCUCAAUUAAAAAAAUAAAAAGCCAUCUAAUCCUUUCUGCCAUAAACAGUGUUGAAUGAUUUCAAUUAAUGGAUAAAAAUAUAAUCACCCAUAGUUCUCUAUUAAUUUAUCAAAGUCAAGCUAACACAUCUUUUAUGACAUGGAUCAUUCUAAUGAAUCCUUUUUAAGGAACUGGAGAUCUACAGAAAACUUCAGAAUUUUAUUUACCACAGGCCAUGAUGUGGCAAUGAUUAUGUUAUAUCCCACUCCCAUCAAGGUGGAACUAUAACUACUUCCUUUUUCCAGUUUUAUAAAUCCCCUCUAUUAGUCUAGGCUUAAGCAAAAUUAACACAACUACUGAAGUUCCCUUGAGACAAGUCCUGGGUUGGCCACAAGUCAUUAAGACCUAGAUGGUUAUUUUUAGUAGCUGCUGCUUACCAGUCUCCUCAGUUAAUUUGGAAAUAGAAAGUAUAUAGUCUUCUUUGGAGAUGCUGUACUAACACACUUUUCCAUACCUGCAGACGCAUUUAUUUUUCAGCUGGUGGGAAUAUCAGGAGAAUUUAGUAGGCUGGAAUAUAAGGAUUCUGAAGCAUAACUUAGAUGAUGGUAAAGUAAACUUAUAAUCAAAAGGACAAAAUGUAUGAUUCUAAAAUCCCGUUAACAGAGCAUCAUGUAGGAAAGCCUAAACUAGAGCCAAAAAAGUCAGCUACACAAAUAAACAGAUACAUCAUAUGAGCACAGCACUCCCAGUACAGGAAUGGUUUCCAUCUCAAGCAAAGUGCUAAGUUGACCCAAGUCUAUUUUGCCCAGAAUUUUAGAUAGUAACUUAGCAUAAUGCUUCAAAAUGCUGUGUUGGUUAAGUUGGUUGCAGAUAAGCUGUCACCUGACCACGCAGUGCUGCCACAUACCAGGGGGGCCUGUGGACUGCCUCACAAUGGUGCCGUCAAACUGAGGAUCCAGACAAACCACGAGGAGGAAGAAGAUCAGGCCGGAUUUAAGUUGAGCUUGGCCAGAUGAAAGAACUCUAGCUAUUUGAGAGGACUGAUACCUCCUGAAGGCAGAAUGCAGCACUGCAAAAAUACACACACUGACAUUCAAAAAGUAGCAUGAUCAUGCUAGCACAACUUCGCAUGCAAAUCAGUUAGACCUUGCUUAAUCCCCACAGUGAUUCCUCUGCAGUGAAAUUUUCCAUUCUGCUUUCAUUUUUUGUAGCUGUUUCAGCAGUGAAUAAAUGUCAGAUGUCA